rnacentral:rRNA from 1 species
AGUGAACGCUGGCGGUAGGCCUAACACAUGCAAGUCGAACGGCAGCACAGUAAGAGCUUGCUCUUACGGGUGGCGAGUGGCGGACGGGUGAGGAAUACAUCGGAAUCUACUUUUUCGUGGGGGAUAACGUAGGGAAACUUACGCUAAUACCGCACACGACCUACGGGUGAAAGCAGGGGAUCUUCGGACCUUGCGCGAUUGAAUGAGCCGAUGUCGGAUUAGCUAGUUGGCGGGGUAAAGGCCCACCAAGGCGACGAUCCGUAGCUGGUCUGAGAGGAUGAUCAGCCACACUAGAGCUGAGACACGGGACAGACUCCUACGGGAGGCAGCAGUGGGAAAUAAUGGACAAUGGGCGCAAGCCUGAUCCAGCCAUACCGCGUGGGUGAAGAAGGCCUUCGGGUUGUAAAGCCCUUUUGUUGGGAAAGAAAAGCAGCAGGUUAAUACCCCGCUGUUCUGACGGUACCCAAAGAAUAAGCACCGGCUAACUUCGU